GAGCCUGCGGCAUCCAGCUUUUGGUUGAAGGAUCGUAAGCAGAGGGAGGAGGAGGAGGCGGCGCCUGCGGCAUCCAGCUUUCGGUUGGAGGAUCGUAAGGAGAGGGAGGAGGAGAUGGCGCCUGCGGCAUCCAGCUCAAUGAAGCGGUCCGGCUCGCGCCCGCAGCUCAACUUCAGCGGGGCGGCGAUUCAGGGCACCUUCGAGGAGAGGAAUCCCA
rnacentral:misc_RNA from 1 species